rnacentral:ncRNA from 1 species
UUACGAUCGAUGAACAAGAGAGUAUGGCAAAGUACAUGCAAAAAGCGAGCCGGGGAUGGUGAAAGCCUGGUGCAGCAGCUUUGUCUGAAACGCACUUGCGAGAUGUACGCUGAACGAAUGGAGUAGGCGUCACCGGAUAAAGCGUCCGUUAUUUGCUUAGAGUUGGUAUUCAUCAUUUUUUGCUGAUGAAUGCAAUUGGAGUGGUACCGCGGGCCUAAACACCCGUCUCCUGC